CUGAUUAUAAAAUAAAUACCUGUUAUUGUAAAAAAUUAGAAAAAUGUUUUUUAAGGUAUGUAUCAUUAUUCAACUCACUGGUAAACACAGUUGAUUCUACUUUACAGUUCUUUUUCCUGGGCAUACAUUUCUAUAUUUGAGAUACUACAGACCAUUUUGCGGCAGCAUUUGUCAUUUAACACUAUUGCAUAGGAUGAAGUCCUUAAAAAGGAAUUACUGGGUCAGAAAACAUGAGUGUUUUCAAGGUUCUUGAUACACAUUGCCCAAACUGUCUUCCAGAAAGUGACCACCAAAGUCAUCCUGAAAGAGAGAUGGCAGAGCUUAGUCCACUCUACAUGCCAAUCUGGCUGCCGGCAAGGAGGAUGAUCAACUCUGAUGGCCUCCAGCCACAGAGCAGCCACACCUUUAAUAAGAGAACCCUGUCUUGAACUCUUCAUUUAAUCAACGAACAAAUAGUGAAAGCAGCACAAUUUGAAAUGCCAAGAAAAAAAUGGAAAAACCAGAGAAGAAAGGUUUGGUUCAAAUAUAAAACCGGCAAAAAUGUGGCCUGGUUUUGAGCAAUUGAUGGAAUGUAAGAAAAAGAGAAUCCAUUUGACCUUCUCCUGGGGACAUUCUUCGAGAGAGAGUCAGCUAGCGACAUGUGAUCAUAUUUCCUUUUCAAUGGGUCUGAUCACACUCUUUCUAUAGUGAUCAAUAAUUAUAUAAUCACAUUUACAUAGUUUUAUAACUAAAUGCUUGCCAGUUUCAAUUUUUAUAAUCAAAACCGAAGGCAAUUAUAGACUAGAAAGAGUGUCUGACAACUGACACUGCGUAGGUGAUGUUCAAGCUAGAGGAAUUCAAGUGAACAGAAGGGGAAGGGGGAGGGGCAAGUGUAGGUGCAACUUUCUUCAUUUGACUUUGGGAUGAGAGAAGAGAUAAUGUGUAAAGAAGAUGGGACAAAAAUAAGGAUUGUGUAUAUUAUUUAAAAAUAAAAAGGCAACUAAUAGAAGAACUGAACACAAUCAUAUAAUGAAACUCAGAACCAAGAGAGAUGAUUGAAAAUAUUGC